rnacentral:rRNA from 1 species
GGGGAGCAAACAGGAUUAGAUACCCUGGUAGUGCACGCCGUAAACGAUGGGUGCUAGGUGUUGGGUCCUUUCCGGGACUCAGUGCCGCAGCUAACGCAUUAAGCACUCCGCCUGGGGAGUACGACCGCAAGGUUGAAACUCAAAGGAAUUGACGGGGGCCCGCACAAGCGGUGGAGCAUGUGGUUUAAUUCGAAGCAACGCGAAGAACCUUACCAGGUCUUGACAUCCCGGUGCCCGUCCUAGAGAUGGGAUUUUGCUUCGGCACACCGGUGACAGGUGGUGCAUGGUUGUCGUCAGCUCGUGUCGUGAGAUGUUGGGUUAAGUCCCGCAACGAGCGCAACCCUUAUUGUUAGUUGCCAUCAUUCAGUUGGGCACUCUAGCGAGACUGCCGGUAAUAAACCGGAGGAAGGUGGGGAUGACGUCAAAUCAUCAUGCCCCUUAUGACCCGGGCUACACACGUGCUACAAUGGCUGGUACAACGAGUCGCAAGUCGGUGACGGCAAGCUAAUCUCUUAAAGCCAGUCUCAGUUCGGGAUUGAUUGUAGGCUGCAACUUCGCCUCCAGGAAGUCGGAAUCGCUAGUAAUCGCGGAUCAGCACGCCGCGGUGAAUACGUUCCCGGGCCUUGUACACACCGCCCGUCACACCACGAGAGUUUGUAACACCCGAAGUCGGUGAGGUAACCUUUUAGGAGCCAGCCGCCUAAGGUGGGAUAGAUGAUUGGGGUGAAGUCGUAACAAGGUAGCCG